rnacentral:rRNA from 1 species
GACGAACGCUGGCGGCGUGCCUAAUACAUGCAAGUAGAACGCUGAAGGAGGAGCUUGCUUCUCUGGAUGAGUUGCGAACGGGUGAGUAACGCGUAGGUAACCUGCCUGGUAGCGGGGGAUAACUAUUGGAAACGAUAGCUAAUACCGCAUAAUAGCAGUUGUUGUAUGACAACUGUUUGAAAGGUGCAAUUGCACCACUACCAGAUGGACCUGCGUUGUAUUAGCUAGUUGGUGGGGUAACGGCUCACCAAGGCGACGAUACAUAGCCGACCUGAGAGGGGGAUCGGCCACACUGGGACUGAGACACGGCCCAGACUCCUACGGGAGGCAGCAGUAGGGAAUCUUCGGCAAUGGACGGAAGUCUGACCGAGCAACGCCGCGUGAGUGAAGAAGGUUUUCGGAUCGUAAAGCUCUGUUGUAAGAGAAGAACGAGUGUGAGAGUGGAAAGUUCACACUGUGACGGUAUCUUACCAGAAAGGGACGGCUAACUACGUG